GGAAUUCACCUCUUCAUUUCUCUUCUCCAGUGGGAGGCCCCUCGGGGAUCUCAAACAAGAAUUGUCAGAGGCAUUUUGCAAACCUGCCUCCAGAUACUUUGCUUACUAUUCUCCUGCAACAUUCCCCCCUCCUACCCGCCUCCACCCAGCCCUGGGCUUCCGGCUCAAGGCGGUAAAGUGAGGACCACAGGCGACAAGCCCCUUGCAGGACCCUCAUCCUGUCUGCACACCCCAUUAGAAGGCUGGCCUGGGGGGAAGACUCCAGAUCAGAGCUGUGGGCCCCCAAGCCGGCCCCGCGGGGCUUUCCGCCAGGCCCCGCUUCCCUACACCCGGACACCAUCUGCUUCCUCCAGGGGUCAUCAAAAGCCAGUGCACGUGCUCGCACCCCCCACCCCCCGCCGCCCACUCAGAAAGGUGGCCUGGGGGAGGAGCGGGAUGAAGGGGAUUCGAACCCCUGGUCCCUUCCAAGGCCCCGGGCGCCUUAUUUAUUCAGCCCGCUCCAGGCUUCUCCUCCCGCUGGCCUCCCGGAGAGUUCCUCUCUUGGGAGUCUGCAACCGUGCGCGGGGCGGACGCCGGGGUAGUGCGUUGCAGCCCCUUCCCCGCCCGGUGGCACAGACGGGUCAGACCCGGAGUGGUCUGCAGUUUCCGGCCAUGGCGACGACACCAGUCCCGCAUGGAGGAGGCCAAACGGGAACCAGGGGCCAACUGGCCCGGGAACUUCCGUUCCCGAUCCCUGACACCGGAGGCCCCCUGGGAAGUCCCAGCAGAUGUGUCCAGGGUCAGAGAAUUCGGAGCAAAGGAUGAGGCAGAUGUUUGAGAUAUGAAGCUGGAAAACCAAGUUCAGUCUUCUUGAACCCUGACUCCCUUACACACCCAGUAAGGAAGGUGAGGGACUUGAGGUAUCUUACUGAAAGGGCUUGAUUCUGUCUUCAUCUUAGCUGAUAUUUUGUUCGUCAUGGAUUUUUGUUUCUUGCAUUCACUUUGAUUUUUUAAAAAAAAUAUUGUAUUAAAACAUUAUCCGGAUUCUGGAAUAUUUGGGCUCCCCUUAAAUACUGCAUCUCAGACAAGUUGCCUCUUUGGCCUCUCUCUGGCCCCAGCCCUGCCACAAGGCCAUGGAGAUAGACUCACAAACACAACUGAGAACAUACAGUCAUGAGACACAUUGGCGACAAAGUGCAGAGCCAAGCAAACACACAGCAAACACAGAUGGAGGCAGGGCUAGGAAGAGAUAGGACUGUGUGUGUGAGGUGAUGAGGCACCCUUGGGGCCAGGAAGGGGGAGGAGGGAGUCACAGGUCACAGCCUCACAGAGGUGCGGGAUCGGGUGGGGGUGGGGGUGCAGCUGGAUCAGCGCUUCACACCCUACUCCUGUACCCAGGACCUGAGGGACCCAAAAGAUUGGGCAGCGAAUGACAAGCACUGGCCUGGUGGGCACAGGCCACUGUGAAUUGGGCUCCGAGGUUGUCCAGAAGAGGGCCCUGGCCCUCAGCAACCAUCCCUGCAUAGAGAGGUGGUGCUGGAGGGGUGUGGGUGCUGGCUGGGGGCCCAGGCAAGGAGAGUGCCAGACAGGCUUCUGUCCAGCAAUAACAGCCCUGCCUGUUGACAUCUACUAGCAGGCUAGGCUUCAGCGGGGGUGGGGAGGAGAACCAGCCUUCCCCUGUCUGGUCUGGGACCCUCACCACUUCCUCCUAAUCUCUUUCCGCUUACAGCCCCCUUUGCACACAACUGCAGCCACUGGCCACCAGCCUGGCUAUUGAUGCUGGAUCCAUUUGGCCACUAAAGCCUGCCACCCCCACAGGCUCAGA
ensembl:lncRNA